UGAGAGGAAGAAAAAAGAAGGGGGAAUCUUUGGAGUGAUGACAUUUGUCUUCCCAAGUCACCAUUACCUGAGGUAAACUGUCUCAAUCCAUGGAUUUUUGUCACUUCUAGUCUUCUGAUCCUCUCCCCUAUUGCACUGAAUCAGCGAAAAGAAUGAUGAAAAAAACACGAUGGCCUGAUCAAAACCAUUAAAUAAUU